CCUACGGGAGGCAGCAGUGGGGAAUAUUGCACAAUGGGGGGAACCCUGAUGCAGCAACGCCGCGUGAGUGAAGAAGUUCCUCGGUAUGUAAAGCUCUAUCAGCAGGGAAGAAAAUGACGGUACCUGACCAAGAAUCACUGGCCAAAUCCGUGCCAGCAGCCGCGGUAAUACGGAGGGUGCAAGCGUUAUCCGGAUUUACUGGGUGUAAAGGGAGCGGAGGCGGCGCGGCAAGUCAGGUGUGAAAGCCCGGGGCUCAACCCCGGGACUGCAUUUGAAACUGCCGGGCUGGAGUGUCGGAGAGGCGAGUGGAAUUCCUGGUGUAGCGGUGAAAUGCGUAGAUAUUAGGAGGAACACCAGUGGCGAAGGCGGCUUGCUGGACGAUAACUGACGCUGAGGCUCGAAAGCGUGGGGAGCAAACAGGAUUAGAUACCCGAGUAGUC
rnacentral:rRNA from 1 species